UAAGACGAAGGUGGCAACCGUUGCUCGGAUUCACUGGGCAUAAAGCGCGCGUAGGUGGCUUUGCAGGUCAUCGGUGAAAAACCCCGGCACAACCGGGGAACUGCCGAUGAAACCGCAUUGCUUGAGGUCGGGAGAGGAGAGUGGAACUCUUGGUGUAGCGGUGAAAUGCGUAGAUAUCAAGAGGAACGCCGGUGGCGAAAGCGGCUCUCUGGACCGAUCCUGACACUAAGGCGCGAAAGCUAGGGGAGCAAACAGGAUUAGAUACCCUGGUAGUCCUAGCUGUAAACGAUGGGCACUGAGUAGAGGGGGUCCGAUGCCUCCUCUGCUGGAGUUAAUAUGUUAAGUGCCCCGCCUGGGGAGUAUGGUCGCAAGGCUA
rnacentral:rRNA from 1 species